GAUGAACGCUGGCGGCGUGCCUAAUACAUGCAAGUCGAGCGAACAGACGAGGAGCUUGCUCCUCUGACGUUAGCGGCGGACGGGUGAGUAACACGUGGAUAACCUACCUAUAAGACUGGGAUAACUUAGGGAAACCGGAGCUAAUACCGGAUAAUAUAUUGAACCGCAUGGUUCAAUAGUGAAAGACGGCUUUGCUGUCACUUAUAGAUGGAUCCGCGCCGCAUUAGCUAGUUGGUAAGGUAACGGCUUACCAAGGCAACGAUGCGUAGCCGACCUGAGAGGGUGAUCGGCCACACUGGAACUGAGACACGGUCCAGACUCCUACGGGAGGCAGCAGUAGGGAAUCUUCCGCAAUGGGCGAAAGCCUGACGGGGCAACGCCGCGUGAGUGAUGAAGGUCUUCGGAUCGUAAAACUCUGUUAUUAGGGAAGAACAAAUGUGUAAGUAACUAUGCACGUCUUGACGGUACCUAAUCAGAAAGCCACGGCUAACUACGUG
rnacentral:rRNA from 1 species